GUGUACCUGGUGGGGUAGCCGUUAAAAGGUUAAAGCUUAAAACGCCAAGUGGUAACGGGACUGGAAACAGAAUUGUAUGAAAGUGUAUUUCUGUAUGCGCACAACGUCCCUCUAUGUAGAUUAUCACAACAAUGUAGAGAUAUCGUCAUCAUAUGUCGUCCACACAAAAAGAGAUCUCAUAUCCCCAUUUAAACGCGGGGCGCUCUAAGGGCUGCGUGAAGACGACGCGGCCCACGAUGGGGUACCGGAAGAUGACCUGCGCUGACGUCAUCGGCAUCUGGUAGUCCGAGUCCGGCUCGAAGAACAGGAUCGUGGCGCACAGCUCACGGCGGGGCGGGCGUCUGGGGAAACACCAUGGAGCGAUGGUGGACGCUGUGGACUCCAGACAGUGGCAGGAACACGUCCCAGUAGGCGCCGGCCAGCUCGUUGGCCAGCCCUGGCAGCAGUUCGCGAGUUUCACUGCGCGUACGCACCAGCAAGUGAAAGGCGGUCGAUCAAGUACAACUUAGACGGAGACCACGUGUGGGAAAGAGACGGAAGAUUAUGACAUCACAAUCAUACCGCGUAUCGGGU
rnacentral:lncRNA from 1 species